rnacentral:rRNA from 1 species
CCUACGGGUGGCAGCAGUGAGGAAUAUUGGUCAAUGGGCGCGAGCCUGAACCAGCCAAGUAGCGUGAAGGAUGACUGCCCUACGGGUUGUACACUUCUUUUAUAAAGGAAUAAAGUGAGGCACGUGUGCCUUUUGUAUGUACUUUAUGCAUAAGGAUCGGCUAACUCCGUGCCAGCAGCCGCGGUAAUACGGAGGAUACGAGCGUUAUCCGGAUUUAUUGGGUUUAAAGGGAGCGUAGAUGGGUUGUUAAGUCAGAUGUGAAAGUUUGCGGCUCAACCGUAAAAUUGCAAUUGAUACUGGCAGUCUUGAGUACAGUUGAGGUAGGCGGAAUUCGUGGUGUAGCGGUGAAAUGCGUAGAUAUCACGAAGAACUCCGAUUGCGAAGGCAGCUUACUAAACUGCCACUGACAUUGAUGCUCGAAAGUGUGGGUAUCAAACAGGAUUAGAGACCCGGGUAGUC